UUUUGAUGAUAAUUUAAGGUUUAGUCUGCUCAAUGAGGAGUUAAAUUGCCGCGGUAUUUUGACCGUGCAAAGGUAGCAUAAUAAUUAGUUUUUUAAUUGAGAGCUGGAAUGAAUGACUGGACGAGAGAAUCACUGUCUCUUUUGAAUUUAGUUGAAUUUAAUUUUUAAGUUAAAAGGCUUAGAUAAUUUUUAAAGACGAGAAGACCCUAUAGAGUUUAAUAAUUGAUUUAUUAGGUUAAGUUUAGGAAUUUUUUUAUCUAUAUUAACAAUUAUUUGGUUGGGGUGACCUAAAGAUAAAUAAAACUCUUUAUUUUAUAAUCAAAGAUUUUUGAUUAAAAUAUCCGGUUUUUCCGAAUUUAUAAAAAAUUACCUUAGGGAUAACAGCGUAAUUUCCUUUUAGAGUUCCUAUUGGUUGGGAAGUUUGCGACCUCGAUGUUGGAUUAAAAUUAAUUUUUGGUGUAGAAGCU
rnacentral:rRNA from 1 species